rnacentral:lncRNA from 10 species
CCUACUCAAGCCUCAGCAAUGGCAGGCACCCCUCCCCUCACCAAGCUGGAACAUCCCAGGUUGAUCUCAGACUGCUGCUGUGCUAGCGGCGAGAAUUUCAAGCCCGUGGAUCUUAGUUUGCUGGGCUCCGUGGGAGUGGGGCCUGUUUAGCCAGAUCACUUGGCUCCCUGGCUUCAGCACCCCUUUCCAGUGGAGUCAGCGGUUCUGUCUUUCUAGCAUUCCAGCUUCUUAAAUGCUGCAUUGAAAGGAUGAAACAGAACGGAUGUGAACAAGAGUUCCCUGAGAAAGGACAGCUCUUAGAGAGAUAGGAUAAUUACUGGACUCAAGAAGAUACCAAAUCAUGACUGUACACAUAAAACAGAUCCAAGUGUAUAAAAAGUUCGCAUGGAUGCAUAAAGAUACGUUUGCAGUUCUACGCUUCAGGGUCAUGCUCUGUUGGCCAGACUGGAGUGCAGUGGCAUGAUCAUUGCUCACUGCAGCCUUGAACUCCUGGGCUCCGUUAAUCCCCCCCUCCUCAAUCUCCUGAGUAGCUGGGACUACAGGUAUGCACAACCAUGACUGGCUAAUUUUUAAAUUUUUUUUGUAGAGGUUGAGUGUCACUAUGUUGCCCAGGCUGGUCUCAAACUCCCAGACUCAAGGGAUCCUCUCGCCUCAGCCUCCCAAAUUUUGGGUUUACAGGUGUGAGCCACUGCAUCCAACCUGUAAUUUAUUUUAGUUGUUUAAAGUGUAAGUCACUCAAAUUGCCAACCAAUCAAAAAAAUCAGUCUUGAAGUAGACAACAAUAUAGAAUUCCCAAACUAGGCUUUGCUCCAGUUUUUUUCUUUUUCUUUUUUUUAAGGAGAAUCCGAUUCUAAAUACAGUUUCUUAUCAAUUUACAGAUCGUUAGAAGUCACAUGUUUUAAACCAGUUUGGAUUUUCUGUGAUUAUCACUCAAACUUAUUUACUAAUUAUUUUUCUAAGUAGGAAGAUAAAUCUCUACUCAGUCUUUCCCCCUCUGAUGGUCCCAUAAGAAAUCAUUUUGCUAUUAGCCUGGAAAUGUUCCAAAAACCUAACAGUGUCUGCAGCAUGGUAUCAAGGGAGACAUCAGAUGUUAGUUCAAAUGUGACUUUUAUGCUCUUGAUCCCACAUCUGAAAGUAAAGAUGCAAUGUAUCUCUCAAAAGGUGGUGCUGAAUAGGAGUGUUCUAUCUCUGUCAGCUCAUCAGCCUCUGGGGAAGUACAAUCUAAAAGCUCUCAGUGGGCUCCUGGGCAUUGCCUUUAAUCUGGGUCUUUUUUUUGGGUCUUGAAAUAUGGCAGUAGUAACCAAUUUAAAGCAAGCAAAUGCUAAUCAUGCAGAAGCCAGCUGUAUGAGCAGCUCUCAUCUGGGGAUUUAAAAACUCUUUGCAAAACACAAGUCAUUAAUCUUCACAGUGGUCCUUUGGAGUCAUAAACAUUCAUCACCACCCAUCUUUGCCACUGGGAAAUCUGGGAUUUCAAAGCCUUGGUGCAGGGCUGCCCCCAAGGUCCUAGGCAGGUCCCGUAAUCCAAGCUGUGAGCAGACCAUAAGGCUCUGGAAUUAAUGUAGUGAGCAAGGCACAAUGGGCCAGUGGGGACUUGUGGCUGACAGGAUGGGGCCACUUUUGGGUCUGUGAAAGUACUGGCUCUACCUGGACCCUGUUCAAAUGCUCUGUGUUAUCUGAGGAAGUGUUAAUGGGAAACAGAGUGAGCUGUUACUUUUGGCUUUGGUCUCUCCGUUUCCCUGAUUAUUUCUCUCUCUAUAGGUCUGUCUUUCCUACGAUCACUCUCUUAAUUUGAUUUAUCAUGUCUGAAGUCAUAGAUUCCUGGCCUUUUAGGACGCAAAGAAUCCUCAGAAAUCUACCACUUUUAGUCUCUCCAUGAAAUUGGGCAGGGGUGAAGUUAUUGGCAGUGAAGUCUUAGGCAUAAGGGAAGAACUCUAUUCCUGUUUCUUUACCUUUUCCCCUGAAAAUUCUUGGCCCAUGGCAGGUGCUUCAUAAGUAUGUUCUGAAUAAAUGUAUGAAUGAGUAAAACCAUGUUGGGGGUAGGGGUUGGAAGAAAAGGAAUCAUGGCAGUGGUAAUUGUUCCAACAUUGUUCAGGUAAGGCUCAGAGAUUUGUUGAAGAUCCUUGUCUUCAGGUUGCUAUCCUAGUGGCUAGGUACCUUUAACCUGCUCACAUCCCUAAUUUUACAGAACAAAAUACUAAGGACCACAGAGACUUUAAGUGAUCUGCCUAAAGUCUCGUAAUUCUUAAAAAUGCAGGCAUAUAGCAAAAUAUGAGAAAUCACUGGAUUCUUUCCUACUUAAUGUAGAACCAAAAAGUAAUUGGUAUAAUGUCUCUGGACAAGUGGGUUAAAGUCUUGAUCUGUCCUUUGUUAUUUGUGACUGGCCAAGGUCACUUAAUUUUAAUAAGUAGUUAUUUCUUCAUCUGUAAAAUGCUAAUAAUGAUGCUAACUGAACAGGGUCAUCAUGGAGAUUAAAUAGGAGAAUGAAUAUGAAAGUGGUUAGCAGAUGGUAGCGAAUAUAUAUAUUAAUAAAUAGGUAUUUUAUAAUUCUGUUUAAAUAUUAAGGUUCUUAUUGGAUUUUUUUUCUUACUGAAUUACAUAUAGCAACUUAUUCAUGGUGACUCAUUAGACUUCCAGACAAUUUAGUAGUUAUUUAACAAAGGGUGUAUUAUCGAGGAAUGAGAUUUUGUAAAUAUGUCUGGGGAGUGUCAACCAUACCCAACAAAGAACAAUUACGUAUUGCAUCAAUGACAAUGUCGAAAUAAAAAUAUUAGGAAAUAUAUUGCAGGAAGUUUGAGGCUUCCUUGUGUGUGAGAGAGAAGGGAGUGGGUGAGGCAGAAUGCCUGUGAAUGUUAUGAGCUGUGUGAUACAUAGUUGAUAGAAAUCUCGAAGGUAGAAAUUUGGGCCUUAGAGUUUUAGAAAAAGACUUUAUCUAUAUAUAGGUAUGUAUGUAUGUAUUCACCUAUCUAUCCACCCCAACCCCAUCCAUCUAUCCUGUAUCCAUAGCAGAUGCUUGGUUGUCUACUCAGUAAACAUUUUCUACUACCUCUUCCCUUCUGGAAAACACACCUCUUAAGUGAAGCUGAAAAUUACAGAUUCUCCUUUUCUCAACAGUGAAUCGUAUUUAUAUGACUCAGUUUUGACCAAUGAGAUGUAAAAAGAAUUCUUCCAGGAUGUUUUUGGGGAAGACCUUUCUCCCUGUUAGAUUUAUAUGAGGAGGACAUUUUUUUCUCUUCCUGUUCUGUGCCCUGUGGUGUGAGGACAUGGUAUUUGGAGUUGUUGCAGUGAUCUUACUUCCUGAGACAAUCAGCCAAAGGAUGAAAACCCAAUGUGCUGAGCAUAUCAGAGCAAAAAGAUGGAAAGAGCCUAGGUCCUGGAUGACACCAUAAGUUGCUGGACCAAUUCUUGAGCUACGUGCCUUCAGAUUUUGUCGGACUUGAAAUAAUUAGAUGUCUUUAUUGCUUAAAUCACUCUAAGUUUGGUAUUACUUUAACACAGUCCUAGGUAUACAAAUAUUCUCUCUUAUUUUAUUUUUAAAGAGACAGGGUCUCACUUUGUUGCCUAGGCUGGGUAGCCGGGAUUAUAGGCAUGAGCCACUGCACCCAGUGUACAGGUAUAAUCUUAAAGUACUUUUUCGCCUCUUUGUCUUAGAAAGAAUUUAAGGUAUGCCACAAUGCAGUAUGGUUAAAGAAAGUUGAAAUAGGUGAAAAAGAGGCAAAAAAAAAAAAAAAAAAGGAAUAUGGAGUGAGGACUGAUGUUAAUACACAAAAGGUAUAUCAUGAAAUCUUGUAUACUUUCUAGGAGAAAGCAAUAUUUUAUUUUGUGGUAGAAGAAACACUGUUAGCACGAUGUUCAAUAGUUUCCCAUAAAAGUUUGUUGAAUGAGUGAUUAAGAGUAACAGCCCCUGUGGGCAGAAGCUCCUUCCUUCUCUCCUUCCCUCUUUUGAGCAUGAAGAUUUUAGCAUGGAGAGUCGGGGAAGUCUCCAAUGAACAAGUGUUGAGACUGAGGCACUGAAGUGCCAUUAUCAGAUGGUUUCCUGACCCUGGGGAUUUUCAUUGGCCACUCUGCCAGAAGGAAAAAAGGAACUCAUCUGCAGAGAGGAAGGCUGAGAAGAUUAAAAACUAGUCCUCGGAUCUCAAUUCUAUAAAUCUAUUAAAAAAUGACAAAACAUGGAAAGUGUUGUCACUACAUAAUUUGUAAUGGCAAGAACUGGAAAGAACUUAAAUGCCAACCUAAAAAGGUGGGGACCAUAUUGUACAGUUUCACAUUGUAAAUUGUGAUUUAUCUGGCGGAUGGAAUGUUAGGUGGUAAGCAUUUAUUUACAUACUUCUACCCAUAUUUACAUUUUCCACAACAAUAACAUGUCCCUGCCUAAGGUUUCGCAGUUGACUCGGUCCAAUGGAAACACAUUUUCUCCCUAGCACAGGCAAACCUAGCAUCCUAGCAGUCAAUGCCUCUACCUCUGCGGGAUGUUGGCUUUCCCCCCAGCCCCUUUAGAUCCAGCUUGCAGAACUGCAUUCAUCAUCCUCCUUCUUCAGGAUGCACUCUCAUCAUUGGUUCUGAGUGAUGAUCAUACCUAUUUUAAUUUGGUUAGAAUCGCAGCUAGAUAUCCUACAUUUCAAGGACUAUAUUGUAAAGUUAAUCACAUCAACAUACUUUAUAUAAAAUGGGGAAAAAGUGGAUGGAAAAAUGUAUGGAUUAAGAAGUAAGGAAGAAAAUAUAUAACGUAUAGCUGCUACAGUCCUCAUUUAUGCAACUGGCUGGAAGAAUAGUUGAUAUUCAUAACUCUUUUUUUCUACCAUUUAUGCUGUUUCCUUUGCUCUCAGCCAGCAGGUUGUGAUUUUUUUACCUGGUGGGAGACCCAAACUCCCAUUUCUAUUACAUGUGAGCCUUUAGUUGUCCUGAAUGCAUCAAGUGGCUAAGUCUUCUAUUCACAUUUUACCAGUGGGCAUGGCGGUACUAGGAGCCACCAUCUCCUGGUUCCACAUAUACUCCUCCCUAGCCCUAGCCCCACGGCAUUGCCUG